rnacentral:rRNA from 1 species
CAGCAGCCGCGGUAAUACGUAGGGUGCAAGCGUUAAUCGGAAUUACUGGGCGUAAAGCGUGCGCAGGCGGUUUGUUAAGACAGAUGUGAAAUCCCCGGGCUCAACCUGGGAACUGCAUUUGUGACUGGCAAGCUAGAGUGUGGCAGAGGGGGGUGGAAUUCCGCGUGUAGCAGUGAAAUGCGUAGAUAUGCGGAGGAACACCGAUGGCGAAGGCAGCCCCCUGGGACAACACUGACGCUGAUGCACGAAAGCGUGGGGAGCAAACAGGAUUAGAGACCCCCGUAGUCCCUGUCUCUUAUAC